AUGACUAUAUGCUCUAUAUUAUACCUGCAGAUCAUCACAGCAGCCGAAGUUGCUGUGCAGAGGGAGGAGAUCGUCCGAGCAUCAGGCCUCAUCCCGUCACAUAGGGAGGGUAUCCUCCAAACAGCCAGUGUCCCUGCACAGAGGGAGGGGAUUCUCUCAGCAGCCAGCAUCAAUGCACAGAGGGAGGAGAUCCUCAUUUCGUCAGGCCUCAUCACUGCACAGAGGGAGGGGAUCCUCCAAACAGCCAGUGUCCCUGCACAGAGGGAGGGGAUUCUCUCAGCAGCCAGCAUCAAUGCACAGAGGGAGGAGAUCCUCAUUUCGUCAGGCCUCAUCACUGCACAGAGGGAGGGGAUCCUCCAAACAGCCAGUGUCCCUGCACAGAGUGAGGGGGUCCUCCAAACAGCCAGUGUCCCUGCACAGAGUGAGGGGAUCCUCCAAACAGCCAGUGUCCCUGCACAGAGUGAGGAGAUCCUCCAAACAGCCAGUGUCCCUGCACAGAGUGAGGAGAUCCUCCAAACAGCCAGUGUCCCUGCACAGAGGGAGGGGAUUCUCUCAGCCGCCAGCAUCAAUGCACAGAGGGAGGAGAUCCUCAUUUCGUCAGGCCUCAUCACUGCACAGAGGGAGGGGAUCCUCCAAACAGCCAGUGUCCCUGCACAGAGGGAGGGGAUUCUCUCAGCCGCCAGCAUCAAUGCACAGAGGGAGGAGAUACUCCGAUCAUCAGGCCUCAUCCCUGCACGGAGGGAAGGGAUCCUCCAAACAGCCAGUGUCACUGCGCAGAGGGAGGGAAUCGUCCCAAUGGCCAGCGUCCCUGCGCACAGGGAGGGGAUUGUACCAAAGACUAGUGUUCCUGCUGAGAGGGAGGAGAUCCUCCAAACAGCCAGUGUCCCUGCACAGAGGGAGGGGAUUCUCCAAACAUCAAGUGUCCCUGCACCAAGGGAGGAGAUUCACCAGUCAGCCAUUGUCCCUGCACAGAGGGAGGGGGUUCUCCGAGCAGCUAGCAUCACUGCGCAGAGGGAGGAGAUCUUCAGAGCAUCAGGCCUCAUCCCUGCACAUAGGAAGGGGCUCCUCCGAGCAUCAGGCCUCAUCCCUGCACAGAGGGAGGGGAUUCUUCCAGCAGCUUCUUCCAUCAGCUACUAUCAGAAGAAUAAGCUCCUCAGAGCAUCACAACUCACCCCUGCACAAAGGAAGUUGAGAUUCCUGAUAGCCAGUGUCACUGCGCAGAGGAAGGGAAUCUUCCCAAAGGCCAGCGUCCCUGCGCACAGGGAGUGGAUUGUCCCAAAGGCUAGUGUCCCUGCAGAGAGGGAGGAGAUCCUCCUCACAGCCAGUGUCCCUGUGAUGAAUGAAAACAAUCAUGCACAACCACCUCCCAUCAUCCCCAUGGUGGCACCACUGUGGAAAAUGAUUGGUGGAACGUGUCCUCCACCUGUGGAUUUCUAUUCCAAGAGAAGAGAUGUCCGACUUAGAUAUGUUGAGCAUCCUGCUAUGAUGUCCAUCACCAAGCCGGAACACUCUGAUGCCAACCCUCAGUUCCAGACUGGCAGCCGGCCGGUGGCCGAGCCCGAGACCCCUGCUGUUCACAAUAACAGUGGAGGCUGGCUCAGCUGGGUCUUUGGGAGUGGAAGAGCUAAGAAGGAGGUUCAUCUACCUGAGGACAAAGACAGAUCUAUUGUCUGGGAUCCAACUCUGCACAGAUGGGUUAACAGAACUGAGCCCAAGGUUGAGAACAAGUGUGUACCACCUCCACCGAUGGGGACAUAUGGAUAUCAGGGGAACACUGGCAGUGUCCCCAAAGGAGUAAAUCCUUACUCUAUGAAAGCAGCAGGUCUAUGGGGCAGCAGAUACCCUACAAUGAAUUACAAUGAUAGGACCAACUCAAAGCCUCCAAGCCAUGGGCCUGGACUGCUUACUAGACAGCUCUCUGGCUUGCUCCCUCCUUCACACUUUGACCUCAUGGCACCAAUGGUUGUGCCACCUGACACUCUACCCUACUGAGGUGCGAGGGCCAUCCUGUGCCACCAGUCAAUUGAUGGUGGAUGACCUUCUGACCCCGUGCUCGCCAGGUGACCCGGCUGCCAUAGAAUUGACCUGGAUGGAUGUGCCUAGCGACAAGCUGCUGUAGCCCAUCUGCAUGUGUCCUGUCAAGCGCCUUUGGAGGGGAGGCGGUAUCACAUCACCAAGGAGCAGCUUGAGUUCCUCAUAGAUUGUCAUAUGACCAUCAGACAAAUGGCAGAUGUUCUCAAUGUGUCGCACUCUGUGGUCAAGUUGCGCAUGAGGUGUAGGAUUGUUAUCCCUGGUGCUGUGGAGGGUUACAGCAGACUUGUUGUGUUUCUGAAGGCCUCUGACAACAACAGGACCGCCACAGUCAUGGAGUCAUUCGAAGCAGCCAUCACCAGCUACGGAACACCAUCCCAGAAACGUACGAUAGACAUCUUCAACUCUAAACGGAUGGGGACCAGAGUUUAGACACAGGUGGCCUUAACAAAAGUUAAGUACUUCCCCAUUCCAGUACGAUUCUGUUUGGUUAUAUUUGGAGAGAGUCAGAGACUGUUAAGAUAUACGGCCGAUGGUUAUUGUAUUUUGCUCUAUUGCGCUUUAGCACAGCAUUCCAUCUGCUGACACAUUAUUUGUCUUCCACUCAGUACAACACGACCCAGGAGAAGCCUACUGCAAGCACUGGUUUGGAACCUUCAGAGCGUGCCUGCUGUGGGAGGACAACAGAACAUUCCGAAUGGACAUUAUUAAAACAGAACUUACAUUUUUGUAAUGCCCAAUCGGGACUUUUAUAAAUUGUUAAAAUAAAUAAUUGUGUGGAGAACGCCCUAUAGUUAAAAAAAUAAACUAUGAAGAUAGUGGUUUGAACUCGUUACAUUUUAUAUAAUUGUGAUUAACAGCAACCUAUUACAGUUAGUAACAUAACAUUGUUGACACAUUGUGACAGCUCAAAUGAUGUGGUUGAAGAUGGACUAGUGCAGGGCUCCUAACCUUGUUCCUGGAGAGCUACUGUCUUGUUGGUUCACUUUGACCCUAAUCUAGUGCACCUGAUUUGAAUAAUUACCUGCUUAAUAAGUUAAUGAGGUUCGUUAAAACUGAGGUUGGAUUGAAAACCUACAGGAGGGUAGCUCUCCAGGAACAGGGUUGGAGAGCCUUGGACUAAUGAAUCUAGUUCUUAGAUCAAUGCAUUUGAAAUUCGAUAAGUCACUACGAAGGUGCAGUUCCCAGAAGUGGAGAUGUCACUUAAUGCAGUGGAUGGGAAGCCUUAUUUCAUGUAGUUCUAAUUAAAUGAUAAUGGUUGAA